UGGCCCUCCAGAUGUUUUAAGACUGCAGUUCCCAUCAUCCCUGACCACUGGUCCUGUAAACUAGGGAUGAUGGGAUUUGUAGUCCCAAAACAUCUGGAGGGGCCGA